GAGAGAGGCCAGUAGCAAUAGAGACUGCUAAUCUCUACCACCGCAGUUAGACUCUGCGGCUCACUCG
rnacentral:tRNA from 1 species